rnacentral:rRNA from 1 species
AGCGAACGCUGGCGGCAGGCUUAACACAUGCAAGUCGAGCGCCCCGCAAGGGGAGCGGCAGACGGGAGAGUAACACGUGGGAACAUACCUUUUGGUUCGGAACAACUGAGGGACACUUCAGCUAAUACCGGAUAAGCCCUUACGGGGAAAGAUUUAUCGCCGAAAGAUUGGCCCGCGUCUGAUUAGCUAGUUGGUGAGGUAACGGCUCACCAAGGCGACGAUCAGUAGCUGGUCUGAGAGGAUGAUCAGCCUCACUGGGACUGAGACACGGCCCAGACUCCUACGGGAGGCAGCAGUGGGGAAUAUUGGACAAUGGGGGCAACCCUGAUCCAGCCAUGCCGCGUGAGUGAUGAAGGCCUUAGGGUUGUAAAGCUCUUUUGCCCGGGAAGAUAAUGACGGUACCGGGAGAAUAAGCCCCGGCUAACUUCGUG